AUUGCAACUGUGUAGGGAGGUGACAGAUACUUGCUCUUCUUCCUCUCCCGCCGACCAGCAGCCGAGUCAUCCACGAGAUCAGCAGCAUUCCCCCGCUUGCUCUUCUUGCUCUUGGGCGUCGCUUUCUCGUCGCCGCCACUGACAGGAUUGUUCUUCUUCCUCUCUGGCCGACCCGACCCAGAGCCAGAGCCAACCACAGCUUCAGA
rnacentral:misc_RNA from 1 species